UACGUAGGGUGCGAGCGUUGUCCGGAAUUAUUGGGCGUAAAGAGCUUGUAGGCGGUUUGUCGCGUCUGCCGUGAAAAUUCGAGGCUCAACCUCGAACUUGCGGUGGGUACGGGCAGACUAGAGUGUGGUAGGGGAGACUGGAAUUCCUGGUGUAGCGGUGAAAUGCGCAGAUAUCAGGAGGAACACCGAUGGCGAAGGCAGGUCUCUGGGCAGUAACUGACGCUGAGGAAGCGAAAGCGUGGGGAGCGAACAGG
rnacentral:rRNA from 1 species